UGGCGAGUAGCGCAGCUAGGUAGCGUGCCAAAUAGAAUGUCCUUUUUCACAAACUUACCUUUCGGGGACGAAGAAUUAGGGUUAUCGCUGAAAAUUUGGAGGUCGCAAGUUCAAAUCCUGCUUCGCCAC
rnacentral:tRNA from 1 species